UAGGGAAUCUUCCGCAAUGGGCGAAAGCCUGACGGAGCAACGCCGCGUGAGUGAUGAAGGUCUUCGGAUCGUAAAACUCUGUUAUUAGGGAAGAACAAAUGUGUAAGUAACUAUGCACGUCUUGACGGUACCUAAUCAGAAAGCCACGGCUAACUACGUGCCAGCAGCCGCGGUAAUACGUAGGUGGCAAGCGUUAUCCGGAAUUAUUGGGCGUAAAGCGCGCGUAGGCGGUUUUUUAAGUCUGAUGUGAAAGCCCACGGCUCAACCGUGGAGGGUCAUUGGAAACUGGAAAACUUGAGUGCAGAAGAGGGAAGUGGAAUUCCAUGUGUAGCGGUGAAAUGCGCAGAGCUAUGGAGGAACACCAGUGGCGAAGGCGACUUUCUGGUCUGUAACUGACGCUGAUGUGCGAAAGCGUGGGGAUCAAACAGG
rnacentral:rRNA from 1 species